rnacentral:rRNA from 1 species
UACGGAGGGUGCAAGCGUUAUCCGGAUUUACUGGGUUUAAAGGGUGCGCAGGCGGAUAUGUAAGUCAGUGGUGAAAUCUUCCCGCUUAACGGGAAAACUGCCGUUGAUACUAUAUAUCUUGAAUGCCGUGGAGGUAAGCGGAAUAUGUCAUGUAGCGGUGAAAUGCUUAGAGAUGACAUAGAACACCUAUUGCGAAGGCAGCUUACUACACGGAGAUUGACGCUCAUGCACGAAAGCGUGGGGAUCAAACAGG